rnacentral:rRNA from 1 species
UACGUAGGGGGCAAGCGUUGUCCGGAAUCAUUGGGCGUAAAGAGCGUGUAGGCGGCCCGAUAAGUCCGCUGUGAAAGUCCAGGGCUCAACCCUGGAAUGCCGGUGGAUACUGUCGGGCUCGAAUCCGGAAGAGGUGAGUGGAAUUCCUGGUGUAGCGGUGAAAUGCGCAGAUAUCAGGAGGAACACCAGUGGCGAAGGCAGGUCUCUGGGACCGUAUUGACGCUGAGACGAGAACGUGGGGAGCAAACAGG